rnacentral:rRNA from 1 species
AGGGUUUGAUUCUGGCUCAGGACGAACGCUGGCGGCGUGCCUAAUACAUGCAAGUAGAACGCUGAAGGAGGAGCUUGCUUCUCUGGAUGAGUUGCGAACGGGUGAGUAACGCGUAGGUAACCUGCCUGGUAGCGGGGGAUAACUAUUGGAAACGAUAGCUAAUACCGCAUAAUAGUAGAUGUUGCAUGACAUUUGCUUAAAAGGUGCAAUUGCAUCACUACCAGAUGGACCUGCGUUGUAUUAGCUAGUUGGUGAGGUAACGGCUCACCAAGGCGACGAUACAUAGCCGACCUGAGAGGGUGAUCGGCCACACUGGGACUGAGACACGGCCCAG